CACUUGCGCGACUCGCUCCUUUCUUUUCAGGCUUAGCUACUGCUCAUGCGUCUGGCCCUCUUGAGGUUCCCGGCGUGCCCCGCAACAGCUUCCGGCGUGCUCCGCAACGGCUUCCGGCAUGACGCAGUAGAGAAGAUGGCGUGGUAGGCGCGUCGUGCCCCUGAGGGCUUUUUCUGAUACAAGAAAAUGACAGCAGUUAACACACCAAGCAGUCUCCCCACUCCCUCUGUCUCCCUUCCUCUCACGUCCUUCCAGCUUCUCUGAACAACUGAACACAUCCACCUGGACCUGGAGGGAAGAUGGAUCCUUACCCAGCGAGAUGUGUCUGUUCUUCCUCUGCGUGGCACCCCUGUAGAGGGCCUUUCGUGCAGGGCCUGGGCACAUCCAUUCUUGCUGACAGAGGGAUACAGCUCUGUUGUCACACGUGGCUGGUCCCUGUAACAACACUGGAGCUGGCUACCGGUAAAAUAGCACCACUCUAGCCUGGGGUGGGGGCAGAGACAGGAUCACAGUUGUCAGAUCAGGGGCAAGGCAAAGGCAGGGGAGGUCAGCCCCCAGGGACAGGUUCUGAGCCGUGUGAUGAUGUCAGAGUGGACACAAUCAAAAUAACCCGAGAAGCCCCGUGGACCACACAGAAUCCUUCUCAUGUCUCUGGAAAUGAGGGUUUUGGGGUGAGAGUGGGUAAUCAGGAGACAGAACGCAUCAACCACAGCUCACCUGGGACCCAGCUGUCCAGACCACAGCACCUGUCUCCUGGUCGUGGAGACCUGUGUUUUGGGGCAGGUUCCUGGGAGCCUGAGGAGCAAGCCAGGCUGGGGGAAAAAACAGCCGCUAUUAGAGGGCGGCUUCCACACAACAGCACAAAGCAGAAGCUCUCAAAGUGGGCUCCUGGGCCAGCUGCAUCAGCAGCCCCUGGCAACCCAUCAGAAAUACAAAUCCUGGGGCCCCACCUCAGAUCUUCUAAAUCAGAAAUUCUGAAGGUGGGGCCUGGGACUCUCCCACCCUGGAUGAGUCUGAGGCAAACUCAAGUUUGAGAACCACUGCCAGAGCACACGGCCUCUGUGAGUUGAGAAGUUCCUUUCAUGAGAUUCCUCUUGGCAUAAGAGCUUUAAUUUUUUUUUUUUUUUCAUUUUAAAGAAAAAGAUACAUGUCAGGGAAAAAAAGAGAAUCAUAGUGGGAAAACAAAAAUAUCUCCAUAGCCCUGCCACCCAAAGAUAACCACAGUACUCUUUAAAAUACCACAGUAACAGAAACCUUUUAUAUUUUUCAGACCAAGAUAAUACAUUUUUUUCUCAAGUCUCCAACUUCAAGAAUUAUACAAAUAUGACUGUGACAUUGCUUAAAAAUAUAGGAAAAAUUUUUUAAAAAUUGUACAAUCCCAGCACUUUGGGAGGCCGAGGCAGGCAGAUCACGAGGU